GUUGCAGUUAAAAAGCUCGUAGUUGAAACUUGGGCCUGGCUGGCCGGUCCGCCUCACCGCGUGUACUGGUCUGGCCGGGCCUUUCCUUCUGGAGAAUCUCAUGCCCUUCAUUGGGUGUGCUGGGGAACCAGGACUUUUACUUUGAAAAAAUUAGAGUGUUCAAAGCAGGCCUUUGCUCGAAUACGUUAGCAUGGAAUAAUAGAAUAGGACGUGCGGUCCUAUUUUGUUGGUUUCUAGGACCGCCGUAAUGAUUAAUAGGGAUAGUCGGGGGCAUCAGUAUUCAAUUGUCAGAGGUGAAAUUCUUGGAUUUAUUGAAGACUAACUACUGCGAAAGCAUUUGCCAAGGAUGUUUUCAUUAAUCAGUGAACGAAAGUUAGGGGAUCGAAGACGAUCAGAUACCGUCGUAGUCUUAACCGUAAACUAUGCCGACUAGGGAUCGGGCGAUGUUUCAAUCUUGACUCGCUCGGCACCUUACGAGAAAUCAAAGUUUUUGGGUUCUGGGGGGAGUAUGGUCGCAAGGCUGAAACUUAAAGAAAUUGACGGAAGGGCACCACCAGGCGUGGAGCCUGCGGCUUAAUUUGACUCAACACGGGGAAACUCACCAGGUCCAGAUGAAAUAAGGAUUGACAGAUUGAGAGCUCUUUCUUGAUUUUUCAGGUGGUGGUGCAUGGCCGUUCUUAGUUGGUGGAGUGAUUUGUCUGCUUAAUUGCGAUAACGAACGAGACCUUCUCCUGCUAAAUAGCCAGGCUAGCUUUGGCUGGUCGCCGGCUUCUUAGAGGGACUUUCGGCUCAGCCGAAGAGUGGAGCAAUACAGUCUGUGAUGCCCUAGAUGUCUGGGCGCACGCGCGCUACACUGAC
rnacentral:rRNA from 1 species